GCAAAAACCAUGGUUAAAAGAGAAACAAGAGGUGAAGAAGGGACAACCUCACAACCACAAAACCCAGAUUUUAUGGAAACAUUGACGGUCAUCGCUGCUUAUCAUCAUCAAACUUCUCUCUCCUUCCUCCUAUCCACACUUGUAUAGACAACCUAAGCUUCGAAUUCAGUCGGUACUAAAUCGAUAUCCCACCAGAUUCAUCUCCUCCGACCACUCUCCUUCUAUGUUUUUCAUUUCAAAAAACCAAAACCUAAUGCAUGGAGGGUCGUCCCUCCUGCAGUCCUAUGCUCAAGGCAGCUGCUAGCUAUUGGUGGCCCCAGUUUUUGGGGCUUGAGGCGGCCGCAUCUUCGACCUCACCUCAGGUUCGGGCCUGAAUAUCUUAUUCAUAUUUACGUUUCUAUCUUCUCUGUUGUUGCUCAAAAGUUCAAAACACAAACAAGUAUAUGAGAUGCAAACAGUUGAAAGGGUCCUUAUAUGAUUGGAGAGCAGAGCACAAUUUUAGUUUUUUUUUUAUUUUUUUUUUUUUAUGGCUCCUACUUAUGGGAUACAACCAAUCCUUGAUUGAUUCAUGACCUUUCUUAUAUAUUUUUGAAGGUAGAAAUCGACUUUACCUGAUACCUGAGCAACAGUUGAUUUUAAAACCAAACUGGAAUGAAGGUAUUGGGGACAACUUAGAAGUGCACAUUCAGUUGUUGGUUGAUUUUAAUAAUUUUUAAAACUAACUAAAGGGUAUUUUAAAUUUAAUAGCAUUUUUUUUGCUUUAUACUUAUAUGAAGAAAAAUCAUUGAAAAUAAAAGGUAAAGGGUACAUUGGUCCUUUCAUGAUAAAAAAUGUCUGUAAGUUAAAUUUUUAACGGAGCUAACAAUUUUAAAUACCAAAAUAUGAGAUACCGUUUUGAAAUUUUCUAAAUAUGAGAUACUAAAAAUGGUAAGACACUGUUUAAAUCAUUUUCCGAAAUUUCUUUCGCGAACAACACACAUAAAAGGCCAACCUAGCUAGCUCCACAUGCAAGGAAAUCUGCUGUGCCUUAAAAAUCCAGUGCCACCUACCAAAUUAUGACACCUGUCUGUAACCAAAACACAGCUUAACUCCCAUCGUUAACCCAAACACGGGUGAUGUGCUUCCAGUUCCACAUUCCCGUUGGACCCAAACCCGAAACCAAAACUGACCAGCUGCGACUUAUUUAGAAAAGCAGCUAUUCUUGGAGGGGGACUGUCACUGUUGCCGGAGAGAGAGAGAGAGAGAGAGAGAGAGAGAGAGAGAGAGAUGGCGUCUCGGCUGCAGAAGAUCGAANNNNNNNN
rnacentral:lncRNA from 1 species